rfam:Ciona savignyi cont_9390, whole genome shotgun sequence.
ACCUUUGCGCAGUGGCAGUAACAUAGCGAAUGAAGUUUAUCCAGGGCUUGUUUAUUAUUGCUAGUUGAGAACUAAAUCCAAUACCCCGACCUUACCGUUUGCAGUGUGUUUUGUAUGAUUAAGACUUCUUUUUUCAGUUUAAAUAGAA